rnacentral:miRNA from 1 species
AAACGAACAAGAAACUGAUGA